CAACCUCAACUCAUAUGGGACUACCCCCUGAAUUUAAGCAUAUUAAUUAGGGGAGGAAAAGAAACUAACAAGGAUUUUCUUAGUAGCGGCGAGCGAAAAGAAAACAGUUCAGCACUAAGUCACUUUGUCUAUAUGGCAAAUGUGAGAUGCAGUGUAUGGAGCGUCAAUAUUCUAGUAUGAGAAAUUAAUGAUUUAAAGUCCUUCUUAAAUGAGGCCAUUUACCCAUAGAGGGUGCCAGGCCCGUAUAACGUUAAUGAUUACUAGAUGAUGUUUCCAAAGAGUCGUGUUGCUUGAUAGUGCAGCACUAAGUGGGUGGUAAACUCCAUCUAAAACUAAAUAUAACCAUGAGACCGAUAGUAAACAAGUACCGUGAGGGAAAGUUGAAAAGAACUCUGAAUAGAGAGUUAAACAGUACGUGAAACUGCUUAGAGGUUAAGCCCGAUGAACCUGAAUAUCCGUUAUGGAAAAUUCAUCAUUAAAAUUGUAAUAUUUAAAUAAUAUUAUUAAGAAUAAUGUGCAUUUUUUCCAUAUAAGGACAUUGUAAUCUAUUAGCAUAUCCCAAAUUUAUCAUAAAAUAUAACUUAUAGUUUAUUCCAAUUAAAUUGCUUGCAUUUUAACACAGAAUAAAUGUUAUUAAUUUGAUAAAGUGCUGAUAGAUUUAUAUUAUUACAGAGCGUUAAUUUCGGAAUUAUAUAAUAAUUAUCAUUGAUUUUUGUGUUUAUUAUAUGCUCUUGUAUGAUUAACAAUGCGAAAGAUUCAGGAUACCUUCGGGACCCGUCUUGAAACACGGACCAAGGAGUCUAACAUAUGUGCAAGUUAUUGGGAUGUAAACCUAAUAGCGUAAUUAACUUGACUAAUAAUGGGAUUAGUUUUUUAGCUAUUUAUAGCUAAUUAACACAAUCCCGGGGCGUUCUAUAUAGUUAUGUAUAAUGUAUAUUUUAUAUUAUUUAUGCCUCUAACUGGAACGUACCUUGAGCAUAUAUGCUGUGACCCGAAAGAUGGUGAACUAUACUUGAUCAGGUUGAAGUCAGGGGAAACCCUGAUGGAAGACCGAAACAGUUCUGACGUGCAAAUCGAUUGUCAGAAUUGAGUAUAGGGGCGAAAGACCAAUCGAACCAUCUAGUAGCUGUUCCUUCCGAAGUUUCCCUCAGGAUAGCUGGUGCAUUUUAAUAUUAUAUAAAAUAAUCUUAUCUGGUAAAGCGAAUGAUUAGAGGCCUUAGGUCGAAACGAUCUUAACCUAUUCUCAAACUUUAAAUGGGUAAGAACCUUAACUUUCUUGAUAUGAAGUUCAAGGUUAUGAUAUAAUGUGCCCAGUGGGCCACUUUUGGUAAGCAGAACUGGCGCUGUGGGAUGAACCAAACGUAAUGUUACGGUGCCCAAAUUAACAACUCAUGCAGAUACCAUGAAAGGCGUUGGUUGCUUAAAACAGCAGGACGGUGAUCAUGGAAGUCGAAAUCCGCUAAGGAGUGUGUAACAACUCACCUGCCGAAGCAACUAGCCCUUAAAAUGGAUGGCGCUUAAGUUGUAUACCUAUACAUUACCGCUAAAGUAGAUGAUUUUAUAUUACUUGUGAUAUAAAUUUUGAAACUUUAGUGAGUAGGAAGGUACAAUGGUAUGCGUAGAAGUGUUUGGUAAGCCUGCAUGGAGCUGCCAUUGGUACAGAUCUUGGUGGUAGUAGCAAAUAAUCGAAUGAGACCUUGGAGGACUGAAGUGGAGAAGGGUUUCGUGUGAACAGUGGUUGAUCACGAGUUAGUCGGUCCUAAGUUCAAGGCGAAAGCCGAAAAUUUUCAAGUAAAACAAAAAUGCCUAACUAUAUAAACAAAGCGAAUAUAAUACACUUGAAUAAUUUUGAACGAAAGGGAAUACGGUUCCAAUUCCGUAACCUGUUGAGUAUCCGUUUGUUAUUAAAUAUGGGCCUCGUGCUCAUCCUAACGACCAUAAAGAAGCCGUCGAGAGAUAUCGGAAGAGUUUUCUUUUCUGUUUUAUAGCCGUACUACCAUGGAAGUCUUUAUAGUAGAUGGGCUAGAAGAGCAUGACAUAUACUGUUGUGUCGAUAUUUUCUCCUCGGACCUUGAAAAUUUAUGGUGGGGACACGCAAACUUCUCAACAACCAAUAUCCGCAGCUGGUCUCCAAGGUGAAGAGUCUCUAGUCGAUAGAAUAAUGUAGGUAAGGGAAGUCGGCAAAUUAGAUCCGUAACUUCGGGAUAAGGAUUGGCUCUGAAGAUUGAGAUAGUCGGGCUUGAUUGGGAAAAAUAACAUGGUUUAUGUGCUCGUUCUGGGUAAAUAGAGUUUCUAGCAUUUAUGUUAGUUACUUGUUCCCCGGAUAGUUUAGUUACGUAGCCAAUUGUGGAACUUUCUUGCUAAAAUUUUUAAGAAUACUAUUUGGGUUAAACCAAUUAGUUCUUAUCAAUUAUAACGAUUAUCAAUUAAUCAAUUCAGAACUGGCACGGACUUGGGGAAUCCGACUGUCUAAUUAAAACAAAGCAUUGUGAUGGCCCUAGCGGGUGUUGACACAAUGUGACAAAGUGAAGAAAUUCAAGUAAGCGCGGGUCAACGGCGGGAGUAACUAUGACUCUCUUAAGGUAGCCAAAUCUAAUUAGUGACGCGCAUGAAUGGAUUAACGAGAUUCCUACUGUCCCUAUCUACUAUCUAGCGAAACCACAGCCAAGGGAACGGGCUUGGAAUAAUUAGCGGGGAAGAAGACCCUUUUGAGCUUGACUCUAAUCUGGCAGUGUAAGGAGACAUAAGAGGUGUAGAAUAAGUGGGAGAUUAGACCUCGGUUUGGUAUCGUCAAUGAAAUACCACUACUCUUAUUGUUUCCUUACUUACUUUUAAAUCAUUUCCUAGCCAUUAUACGGAUUAUAUUUAUUUUUGAUGCAAGCUUCUUGAUCAAAGUAUCACGAGUUUGUUAUAUAAUCGCAAACAAAUUCUUUAAUAAAACGAUGAUGUAUUUUUGGAAAAUUUGGUAUAACUCCAAUUACUCAGGUAUGAUCCAAUUCAAGGACAUUGCCAGGUAGGGAGUUUGACUGGGGCGGUACAUCUCUCAAAUAAUAACGGAGGUGUCCCAAGGCCAGCUCAGUGCGGACAGAAACCACACAUAGAGCAAAUGCUGACUUGAUCUCGGUGUUCAGUACACACAGGGACAGCAAAAGCUCGGCCUAUCGAUCCUUUUUUUAAAGAGUUUUUAACAAGAGGUGUCAGAAAAGUUACCGGGAUAACUGGCUUGUGGCGCCUUUUACGUCCUUUUUGAUGUCGGCUCUUCCUAUCAUUGUGAAGCAAAAUUCACCAAGCGUUGGAUUGUUCACCCAUGCAAGGGAACGUGAGCUGGGUUUAGACCGUCGUGAGACAGGUUAGUUUUCUACUAAUGACAAAACGUUGUUGCGACAGCAUUCCUGCGUAGUACGAGAGGAACCGCAGGUACGGAAAUGGCACAAUACUUGUUCGAGCGAACAGUGGUAUGACGCUACGUCCGUUGGAUUAUGCCUGAACGCCUCUAAGGUCGUAUCCGUGCUGGACUGCAAUGAUAAAUAAGGGGCAAUUUGCAUUGUAUGGCUUCUAAACCAUUUAAAGUUUAUAAUUUAUUUUAUAAACGACAAUGGAUGUGAUGUGUAAUUUGUAACAUAGUAAAUUAGGAGGAUCUUCGAUCACCUGAUGCCGCGCUAGUUACAUAUAAAAGCAUUAUUUAAUACAAUGACAAAGCCUAGAAUCAAUUGUAAACGACUUUUGUAACAGGCAAGGUGUUGUAAGUGGUUGAGCAGCUGCCAUACUGCGAUCCACUGAAGCUUAUCCUUUGCUUGAUGAUUCGA